AGUGAACGCUGGCGGUAGGCCUAACACAUGCAAGUCGAACGGCAGCACAGUAAGAGCUUGCUCUUACGGGUGGCGAGUGGCGGACGGGUGAGGCAUACAUCGGAAUCUACUUUUUCGUGGGGGAUAACGUAGGGAAACUUACGCUAAUACCGCAUACGACCUACGGGUGAAAGCAGGGGAUCUUCGGACCUUGCGCGACUGAAUUAGCCGAUGUCGGAUUAGCUAGUUGGCGGGGUAAAGGCCCACCAAGGCGACGAUCCGUAGCUGGUCUGAGAGGAUGAUCAGCCACACUGGAACUGAGACACGGUCCAGACUCCUACGGGAGGCAGCAGUGGGGAAUAUUGGACAAUGGGCGAAAGCCUGAUCCAGCCAUACCGCGUGGGUGAAGAAGGCCUUCGGGUUGUAAAGCCCUGUUGUUGGGAAAGAAAAGCAGCAUGUUAAUACCCCGCUGUUCUGACGGUACCCAAAGAAUAAGCACCGGCUAACUUCGUG
rnacentral:rRNA from 1 species